rnacentral:rRNA from 1 species
AUUGAACGCUGGCGGCAGGCUUAACACAUGCAAGUCGAGCGGGGGAAGGUAGCUUGCUACCGGACCUAGCGGCGGACGGGUGAGUAAUGCUUAGGAAUCUGCCUAUUAGUGGGGGACAACAUCUCGAAAGGGAUGCUAAUACCGCAUACGUCCUACGGGAGAAAGCAGGGGAUCUUCGGACCUUGCGCUAAUAGAUGAGCCUAAGUCGGAUUAGCUAGUUGGUGGGGUAAAGGCCUACCAAGGCGACGAUCUGUAGCGGGGCUGAGAGGAUGAUCCGCCACACUGGGGCUGAGGCACGGCCCAGACUCCUACGGGAGGUAGCAGUGGGGAAUAUUGGACAAUGGGGGGAACCCUGAUCCAGCCAUGCCGCGUGUGUGAAGAAGGCCUUAUGGUUGUAAAGCACUUUAAGCGAGGAGGAGGCUACUCUAGUUAAUACCUAGGGAUAGUGGACGUUACUCGCAGAAUAAGCACCGGCUAACUCUGUGCCAGCCGCCGCCGUAA